AUGGCUCCGGUGAAGCUGUACGGCGCGACCCUGUCGUGGAACGUCACCAGGUGCGUGGCGGCGCUGGAGGAGGCCGGCGUCGAGUACGAGAUCGUACCCAUCAACUUCGGCACCGGCGAGCACAAGAGCCCCGACCACCUCGCCAGGAACCCCUUCGGCCAGGUGCCAGCUUUGCAGGAUGGUGACUUAUACGUCUUCGAAUCACGUGCUAUUUGCAAGUACGCGUGCCGCAAGAACAAGCCAGAGCUGUUGAAGGAGGGCGACAUCAAGGAGUCAGCAAUGGUGGAUGUGUGGCUCGAGGUGGAGGCCCAUCAGUACACUGCCGCUCUGAGCCCCAUUCUCUUCGAGUGCCUUAUCCAUCCAAUGCUUGGGGGAGCCACUGACCAGAAGGUCAUCGACGACAACCUUGUUAAGAUCAAGAACGUGCUGGCGGUGUACGAGGCGCACCUGAGCAAGUCCAAGUACCUGGCUGGAGACUUCCUCAGUCUUGCGGACCUUAACCAUGUGUCUGUCACCCUGUGCUUGGCGGCUACACCCUAUGCGUCUCUGUUCGACGCGUACCCGCAUGUGAAGGCCUGGUGGACUGACCUGCUGGCGAGGCCGUCCGUCCAGAAGGUCGCAGCGCUGAUGAAGCCAUGA
rnacentral:rRNA from 1 species